rnacentral:rRNA from 1 species
CAGUCGCCGCGGUAAUACGGAGGGUGCAAGCGUUAAUCGGAAUUACUGGGCGUAAAGCGUGCGUAGGCGGUUCGUUAAGUCUGUUGUGAAAGCCCCGGGCUCAACCUGGGAACGGCAAUGGAUACUGGCGAGCUAGAGUGUGUCAGAGGAUGGUGGAAUUCCCGGUGUAGCGGUGAAAUGCGUAGAGAUCGGGAGGAACAUCAGUGGCGAAGGCGGCCAUCUGGGACAACACUGACGCUGAGGCACGAAAGCGUGGGGAGCAAACAGGAUUAGAUACCCGAGUAGUCCCUGUCUCUUAUAC